rnacentral:rRNA from 1 species
GACAGAGGAGGCAAGCGUUGUUCGGAAUCAUUGGGCUUAAAGCGGGUGUAGGCGGCUCUGAAAGUGUUCUGUGAAAGCCCACGGCUCAACCGUGGAACCGCAGGGCAAACUACAGGGCUUGAGGUCGGUAGAGGUGCCUGGAACUUUCGGUGGAGCGGUGAAAUGCGUAGAUAUCGGGAGGAACGCCGGUGGCGAAAGCGGGGCACUGGGCCGAUUCUGACGCUGAGGCGCGAAAGCGUGGGGAGCAAACAGG